GUGUCAGCAGCCGCGGUAAUACGGAGGGUGCGAGCGUUGUCCGGAAUCACUGGGCGUAAAGGGCGCGUAGGCGGCAGGCCAAGCGUGCGGUGAAAGUCCGGGGCUCAACCCCGGAUCGGCCGUGCGGACUGGUUUGCUAGAGCACUGUAGAGGCGAGUGGAAUUCCGGGUGUAGCGGUGGAAUGCGUAGAGAUCCGGAAGAACACCGGUGGCGAAGGCGGCUCGCUGGGCAGUGGCUGACGCUGAGGCGCGACAGCGUGGGGAGCAAACAGGAUUAGAUACCCUGGUAGUCC
rnacentral:rRNA from 1 species